UUGUUUUGACUUUUUUUAAAAAUGAUUUUUAUAGUGUUAUAUAUUUUAGUCUAAAAAAUUUUUACAAAGAAACUUUUCAUAAAAGCUUCAAAUGAAAAUUUGGUUUGAAUAGUUAUUUUUAAAAUGUUAUUUUAGGUAUUUCAUCAUUUUAUCGAAACUUUUUUUGGAUAUCAAAUUUUCAAAAAAUCACUUAAUUUUGAAGCUAUUUCAAAUAGCUUUUCAUAAAAAUCAUUUUUAAGAUACAACUUUUUGAAAAAAUUAUGAUUAUGUUUUGAUAUUCAAUAAUGUAUAUUUAUGUUAUAGAAUGAACAAUUCAAUCUUUUAAUUUAUAAAAAACAAAUUUAGAAAAAUUUAUAAUAUUUUGAAAAACAUUUUUGUAGAAUCUAUUUUCAAAAAUACAAAGAAAAAAUCUAUUUUUUUAAAGAUAAAACAAAC
rnacentral:lncRNA from 1 species